rnacentral:rRNA from 1 species
AGAAUCAACGCUGGCGGCGUGCCUAACACAUGCAAGUCGAACGAGAAAGGGUAGCAAUACCUGAGUAAAGUGGCGCACGGGUGAGUAACACGUGACUAACCUACCUUUGAGUGGGGGAUAACCUAGGGAAACCUGGGCUAAUACCGCAUAAUACCUAUGGGUCAAGGCGAGCAAUCGCGCUUAAAGAGGGGGUCGCGGCAGAUUAGUUAGUUGGUAGGGUAAUGGCCUACCAAGACGAUAAUCUGUAUCCGGCCUGAGAGGGCGCACGGACACACUGGAACUGAAACACGGUCCAGACUCCUACGGGAGGCAGCAGUGGGAAUUUUGCGCAAUGGGGGAAACCCUGACGCAGCAACGCCGCGUGGAGGAUGAAAUAUCUUGGUAUGUAAACUCCUUUCGAUGGGACGAUAAUGACGGUACCCAUAGAAGAAGCCCCGGCUAACUUCGCGCCAGCAGCCGC